CUGAAAGGUGAAGGACCCGGUCUUCGGACUGGGAGCGUACACAGGUGCUGCAUGGCUGUCGUCAGCUCGUGUCGUGAGACGUUGGGUUAAGUCCCGCAACGAGCGCAACCCUUGCCUUUAGUUGCCAGCAGUUCGGCUGGGCACUCUAAAGGGACUGCCGGUGUUAAACCGGAGGAAGGUGGGGAUGACGUCAAGUCCCCAUGGCCUUUAUGACCAGGGCGACACACGUGCUACAAUGGCCGGCACAACGGGAAGCGAGUUCGCGAGGACGAGCGGAUCCCUCAAAGCCGGUCGCAGUUCGGAUUGAAGUCUGCAACUCGACUUCAUGAAGCUGGAAUCGCUAGUAAUCGUGGAUCAGCCAAGCCGCGGUGAAUACGUUCCCGGGCCUU
rnacentral:rRNA from 1 species